UUUCCCGGGAUGGAUGUUAGCCCCUCUCUAGUCCGCCUCCUCCCGGGAUCGCUGCGGAGGGUCCGCACCUUCUCCGCCCCGUACCGCUAAUCGCGAUGACCUCCCCUUUCCUAGACAGCGCCUUUAGUUUUCCUCCCGCAUCCUCCCUCCGCCCCCCGGCCUUUAAUACUCUUUUCCAGUCCCCUUCUAUCAACAUGACAACCGCUCUAGGAAAAAGACAGUCGAUAGAGGUUGUUAAAACGGACACAAAUCAGCUAAAGAUGCCCAGCUGCAAUAUUAAGAAGCGCUGCUAACCGCCGGUGUUAUCUGGGGUGUGCAGAGAGGAGGAACGCGGGGACCCGGGGCGAUGCCCACCCGAUGCGAUCGGCGCUGACUCCCCGCCAGCAGCCGCCGCUCGCUCUUUUUAUAUGGAAAACCGGCAACAUUUCGGAAAGCAGCUUUAAAACUUUGACUUAUAUUUUACAUGCUAAAUAACGGGGAGAAUGGCGGCAGCGUUACAGAAAGCUUCAACCCUGCAAAUAUUUGAAUGGGGCUUUUUUGUAAAGUAGAGCAGCUGUCAGUCAGCUGGCUUUGACAGCCUGCCACAAUUUUGUCAUUUAAUAGUGGGUGUUAGGCUAAGUGCAAAACACUCUGGCAAACAGAUGUCAAACCUACAUCUCAUAUAAAUGGGGGUUGUAAAAUUGAGUUUUAACCCACAUAUAGGGUUUUAAAAAGCGGUGCCAGUGUGUAAACGGUAUACAAAAUAGAGAUACUGACAAUC